AGUGAACGCUGGCGGUAGGCCUAACACAUGCAAGUCGAACGGCAGCACAGUAAGAGCUUGCUCUUACGGGUGGCGAGUGGCGGGCGGGUGAGGAAUACAUCGGAAUCUACUUUUUCGUGGGGGAUAACGUAGGGAAACUUACGCUAAUACCGCAUACGACCUACGGGCGAAAGCAGGGGAUCUUCGGACCUUGCGCGAUUGAAUGAGCCGAUGUCGGAUUAGCUAGUUGGCGGGGUAAAGGCCCACCAAGGCGACGAUCCGUAGCUGGUCUGAGAGGAUGAUCAGCCACACUGGAACUGAGACACGGUCCAGACUCCUACGGGAGGCAGCAGUGGGGAAUAUUGGACAAUGGGCGCAAGCCUGAUCCAGCCAUACCGCGUGGGUGAAGAAGGCCUUCGGGUUGUAAAGCCCUUUUGUUGGGAAAGAAAAGCAGCAGGUUAAUACCCCGCUGUUCUGACGGUACCCAAAGAAUAAGCACCGGCUAACUUCGUG
rnacentral:rRNA from 1 species